AUUGAACGCUGGCGGCAGGCCUAACACAUGCAAGUCGAACGGUAACAGGAAGCAGCUUGCUGCUUCGCUGACGAGUGGCGGACGGGUGAGUAAUGUCUGGGAAACUGCCUGAUGGAGGGGGAUAACUACUGGAAACGGUAGCUAAUACCGCAUAACGUCGCAAGACCAAAGAGGGGGACCUUCGGGCCUCUGGCCAUCGGAUGAGCCCAGAUGGGAUGAGCUAGUAGGUGGGGUAACGGCUCACCUAGGCGACGAGCCCUAGCUGGUCUGAGAGGAUGACCAGCCAAACUGGAACUGAGACACGGUCCAGACUCCUACGGGAGGCAGCAGUGGGGAAUAUUGCACAAUGGGAGCAAGCCUGAUGCAGCCAUGCCGCGUGUAUGAAGAAGGCCUUCGGGUUGUAAAGUACUUUCAGCGGGGAGGAAGGCGAUAAGGUUAAUAACCUUGUCGAUUGACGUUACCCGCAGAAGAAGCACCGGCUAACUCCGUGCCAGCCGCCGCAGUAA
rnacentral:rRNA from 1 species